ensembl:snoRNA SNORA74 Small nucleolar RNA SNORA74
UCCAGCACUGGUCAGCUGUCUGGAGAACCAUUCCUGUGGUGGUGGUACACUGCUGGGAGAGCAUUGUCUUGCCUUUAUCUGGUUGCCUUUGUCACUGUUCUGGUGGGGUCUGGCACUGGUGCAAGGCAGGACUGUGUUUACUUAAGUGUGUGCCAAGCAUUCACU